rnacentral:lncRNA from 1 species
UCGGAUUUGUUUUCGUUUCGAUGCGGUUGAGUUUGUUGGUUGUUUCGGUUAGGUAGUUCAGGCGGUGGCUGAGGCAGUUAGGGAUUUGGUUGUCGGCGAUUCAGAGCUUAUAGCACCGUGUCACUUGUUUUGGAAGUUUGCACUGUGGUCGAUAUUUUUUGCUGAACUUAUGUACUAAAUGUGCUGUUUUUCCUGUUUUGGUAUUUUAUCCUGACCUUUUAGUUAGGUGGUUGCCACAAUCCCGGAGUUAUUUACCUAAAUUUGUGUAGCAUACAUGCAUUAGAAUCAAAGUUAAAUAGGUGCUGGGUUAGCUUGGUGGGCAGAAUAUAGGUUUCUUAGGUUCCACCGUCCUUGGAACAAGGCUCUGCAGUGUGAAGGUGUGGUUGUGGAUUAAGGGUGAGGGAGAAAGGGUGGAUGAUGAAGGGUGAGGAAGAAGAGUGAACAAAGUGGAUGAGCGAGAGGGAGAGCCACAGGGUGAGACUGCUGCAUGUAGUGGUGCUGGCGGCAGUCUCUUGUUGCUGCACCAGGGUUUAGAUGUGGUUUUGUAACGGUGGUUUUGGCUUAAGCUCAUGGUGGCGUGGUUUGUUCCAAUGCCGAUUUUGUCUUUCUCUGAGGCAGUCGGUGAUUCGGUGGUCGAUGAGUGGUCACAAAAAUUCUCAUGUCAGGUGUUUCGAAAGUUUGGACGGUUGUUUAUUUGUGACCGAUAGGGAUAUAGUUGAUUCUGAUCUUGCUGUAGUUACCGUUUUGCUGUUUUAUCCCAGGCAUGUGGUGUCUACAAUCCUGGGGUGCAUUAAUUAAUUUGUGAAGUAACCCAAAUACAUUUAUUUAAGCUUGUACUAUGUUUGCUGAAUGCUUAUGUUUAGUAGCUCUGCUCCCGUGAAAAUGAUACUUCAAGCUAGGUAACUGUUUGCUGAAUAAUAGGUGAUGCUGUCCUUGGCAAGUUUCUAUGGUUGAUCAAAUGUUCACAUGGCUCACUCUUUCCUUGAGAUAUAUAUAUUUUCUUAUAGAAUCACAUCCAUGCAUAUAUCCUUCUUGUAUAUCUGCAAGGCCUUUUAGUGGUUCCAUACUGAUUUUGAAAUAUCUUGCAGCUGCACGGGCUCUUGAAAUGCUCAACUUCACUCCUAUCAACGGGAGGCCUAUCAGGAUAAUGUAUUCUAACCGUGACCCCAGCUUGCGCAAGAGUGGCACAGCAAAUAUAUUUAUUAAGGUCUGCACACAUUUUGAAUGCAGUUAUUGAAUCUUAUUGUUGUAGCGCUACUAUAUUUAUCUAACCUGACAUCUUGUCCUUUAUAAUCUGCAGAAUCUUGACAAGUCAAUUGACAACAAAGCUUUGCAUGACACAUUUUGUGUGUUUGGAAACAUUCUUUCAUGUAAAGUUGCAACAGAUCCUGCUGGGGAAUCAAAGGGCUAUGGCUUUGUUCAGUAUGAGCGGGAUGAGGCUGCUCAUGCUGCUAUUGAGAAACUCAAUGGGAUGCUUAUGAAUGACAAGAAGGUUUAUGUUGGGCCUUUUGUUCGUAAGCAGGAGAGAGAUAACUCUCCAGGCAGUGUCAAGUUCAAUAAUGUCUAUGUAAAGAACCUAGCUGAGACUACCACUGAAGAUGACUUGAAGGAAAUCUUCGGGAAGUUUGGAACAAUAACAAGUGUUGUUGUAAUGCGGGAUGGGGAUGGAAGAUCCAAGUGUUUUGGAUUUGUGAACUUUGAAAGUCCAGAUGAAGCUGCUCUGGCUGUUCAAGAUUUGAAUGGCAAGAAAUUUAGUGACAAGGAAUGGUACGUUGGAAGAGCGCAGAAGAAGUCGGAAAGGGAGAUGGAGUUGAAGGAGAAGUUUGAAAAGAACCUUCAAGAGGCAGCAGAUAAGUAUCAAAACACCAACUUGUAUCUGAAGAACUUAGAUGAUACUGUUGAUGAUGAAAAGUUGCGAGAACUUUUUGCUGAGUUUGGAACUAUUACUUCCUGCAAGGUUUGUUUUAGUUAUCAGCUGCUGAUCUAAAUGAUGCGUAUGCUUCCCACAUGUGCUACUAACUGAAAGUCUGUCACAGGUUAUGCGUGAUUCCAAUGGUGCAAGCAGAGGUUCUGGAUUUGUUGCUUUUAAAUCUGCUGAUGAUGCUUCCCGAGCUGUAAGCUUGAGCUUUACUUUGUGUAAAUAAGUACUCCCUCUGUCCCAAAAUAAGUGUCUCAACUUUGUACUAGCUCUAGUACAAAUUUGUAUUAUGCUUGAGACAGUUAUUUUGGGACGGAGGGAGUAUGAUUUUUUUUUUUUGCUUCUGGUGAUUUUUGGUCCCUAAAGUUAUUUAUUCUUAUCAUUGCAUGUUAGCUUGCUGAAAUGAACAACAAGAUGGUUGGCAAUAAACCACUUUAUGUUGCACUCGCACAGCGCAAGGAAGACAGGAAAGCUAGGCUGCAGGUAUGAACUUCUGUUUGAAAUUGUAUUUUACAUGACUGUAAUAUUCCUGAGACGUAUACUUGUAUAGUAUUUCCUCACCUAGUUUUUCAGCAAAACCUACUGAGAUGAACACCUACACAAUCUGAUGGCAUCCAAUUCGUGGGUCUAGUGCUUUCUCAUGAUACCGAUGUUCAGUAUACCAGCUAAAUGUUCCAUUAUAUUCAUUUUUAAGUCAAUAAUUUGACUGUCAACACUCAAUAGAAUUGCGGUGUUUUUAUGUAAACUUUCUUCACGACAUGGUGUCCAAGCUAUUUAUUGGGUUUUCUGUCACCAACUGCUGUUCAUUGCAGGCACAGUUUUCACAAAUGCGUCCUGUUCCAAUGGCUCAAACUGUUGGUCCUCGUAUGCAAAUGUUACCUCCUGGUGUUCCGGUUGGUCAGCAAAUGUUUUAUGGCCAGCCACCAGCGUUUAUUAACCCCCAGGUGAGUAGGGUUAAAAAAUUCUCAUUGUCCAUCACAUUGUUAUGUUGCUAGCUUGCUGGAUUUGAUUUACAUUACAUAACAUUAUUAUGUUGUUAGGUGUAAUAAUUUUCUCAAGCCAGCUUGUGCCAUUGCUUUAGCACAAAGGGCCAUUACCAAUAUUUUCUCAUUGUUCUUGCUUAUGCUUUCACAUUUGCGUAUUUUGACAUUGUGUAGUGUAGUACUUUAUCAUUUGGCUGUACAAUACAGCAACUUGGCCAUAAUUAUUUCUGCUAGUGUAAUGAAGUUUCAUGAGCAAGCAGCGCAAUUUGCUUUUGGGUUUUCAAUUAUGUAGAUCUAGAAUUCCCUUGCUCAAUAUCACACAUGAUAUUUUUAUUACAAUGAUUCUGGAUUGACAAUGUGUGGUCUUUUUGUAGCCUGGGUUUGGCUUCCAGCAACCCUUCAUGCCUGGAAUGAGGCCAGGUGGUGCUCCGAUGCCAAACUUUAUGAUGCCUAUGGUUCAGCAAGGACAACAACCACAACGCCCAGCUGGUAGGCGAGCUGGUGCUGGGGGAAUGCAGCAAUCCAUGCAGAUGGGUCAGCAGCAGGUAACCUACAGCUGGUGCUUCACUUCUCUUCAAUAUGCAAUAUUUUCCUAGGGGGUUGUAGAGCCAUUUGACAAUCAAUCUGGUUUAGAGGCUCUAAAAUCUAUCUACAUUGCAGAUGAUGGGUAGGGGUGGUGGUCGUGGUUACCGCUAUCCAACUGGGCGUGGCAUGCCUGAUCCUGCUAUGCAUGGUGUUGGGGGUGUGAUGACAUCCCCAUAUGAGAUGGGAGGCAUGCCUAUGAGAGAUGCCGGUGCGUCACAGCCAGUUCCAAUUGGGGCAUUGGCUUCUGCACUUGCCAAUUCACCCCCAGAGACGCAAAGAAUGGUACGGGAAUGGGGCUCUCUAGGUAUUGUUUUAUUAGGAAGAUGUGUUGUUUUGUGGAACUUGACCUUGUUUUGUUUGUUGCUGCAGAUGCUUGGCGAGAACUUGUACCCUCUUGUUGAUCAGCUGGAGCACGACCAGGCUGCCAAGGUUACUGGCAUGCUUCUGGAGAUGGACCAGACCGAGGUGCUUCACCUGCUUGAGUCGCCAGACGCUCUCAAGGCCAAGGUUGCUGAAGCCAUGGAGGUUCUCCGCAGCGCUCAGCAGCACACCAACCAGUCCCCCGAGCAGCAGCUGGCUUCGCUUUCGUUGAAUGACGGCCUCAUCUCUUCCUGAGCUAAACAGCGACAAUUUUUGCACCAUAUCAAACUUAUCUAGACUGAAAAUGACUUGGUUUAUUUGAGACUUAGCUUUUGCCAGUAGUUGAACUAGUCUUUUAGGCUUCCCAUGGA